GAACACCAGUGGCGAAGGCGACUUUCUGGUCUGUAACUGACGCUGAUGUGCGAAAGCGUGGGGAUCAAACAGGAUUAGAUACCCUGGUAGUCCACGCCGUAAACGAUGAGUGCUAAGUGUUAGGGGGGUUCCGCCCCUUAGUGCUGCAGCUAACGCAUUAAGCACUCCGCCUGGGGAGUACGACCGCAAGGUUGAAACUCAAAGGAAUUGACGGGGACCCG
rnacentral:rRNA from 1 species